rnacentral:rRNA from 1 species
GACGAACGCUGGCGGCGUGCCUAAUACAUGCAAGUCGAGCGGACGAAUCGAAAGCUUGCUUUUGAUUCGUUAGCGGCGGACGGGUGAGUAACACGUGGGCAACCUGCCCUGUAGACGGGGAUAACACCGAGAAAUCGGUGCUAAUACCGGAUAACACGAAAUGUCGCAUGACGUUUCGUUGAAAGAUGGCGCAAGCUGUCGCUACAGGAUGGGCCCGCGGCGCAUUAGCUAGUUGGUGAGGUAACGGCUCACCAAGGCGACGAUGCGUAGCCGACCUGAGAGGGUGAUCGGCCACACUGGGACUGAGACACGGCCCAGACUCCUACGGGAGGCAGCAGUAGGGAAUCUUCCGCAAUGGACGAAAGUCUGACGGAGCAACGCCGCGUGAGCGAAGAAGGCCUUCGGGUCGUAAAGCUCUGUUGUUAGGGAAGAACAAGUAACGCAGUAACUGGCGUUACCGUGACGGUACCUAACGAGAAAGCCACGGCUAACUACGUG